rnacentral:misc_RNA from 1 species
GAAAUGCGAUAAGUAAUGUGAAUUGCAGAAUUCCGUGAAUCAUCGAAUCUUUGAACGCACAUUGCGCCCUCUGGUAUUCCGGGGGGCAUGCCUGUCCGAGCGUCAUUGCGAACCCCUCAAGCACGGCUUGUGUGAUGGGCCCUCCCGCGUCUUGGUCGUCAAGACGGGCCCGAAAAGCAGUGGCGGCUUCGCGGUUAUCCGAUCAGCCAGAGCGUAUGGGGACUUUCUCUCUGUCACACGCCCGCGGCGCGGACCGACGCCUGUCGACCUUUAUUCAUCUUUUUCUCGGUUGACCUCGGAUCAGGUAGGGAUGCCCGCUGAACUUAGGC